CUUAACACAUGCAAGUCGAACGGUGAAGCAGAGCUUGCCCUGUGGAAAGGGCGAACGGGUGAGUAACACGUGAGCAAUCUGCCCCUGACUCUGGGAUAAGCGCUGGAAACGGCGUCUAAUACCGGAUACGAGCUGCGACCGCAUGGUCAGUAGCUGGAAAGAAUUUCGGGUCAGGGAUGAGCUCGCGGCCUAUCAGCUUGUUGGUGAGGUAAUGGCUCACCAAGGCGUCGACGGGUAGCCGGCCUGAGAGGGUGACCGGCCACACUGGGACUGAGACACGGCCCAGACUCCUACGGGAGGCAGCAGUGGGGAAUAUUGCACAAUGGGCGCAAGCCUGAUGCAGCAACGCCGCGUGAGGGAUGACGGCCUUCGGGUUGUAAACCUCUUUUAGCAGGGAAGAAGCGAAAGUGACGGUACCUGCAGAAAAAGCGCCGGCUAACUACGUGCCAGCAGCCGCGGUAAUACGUAGGGCGCAAGCGUUAUCCGGAAUUAUUGGGCGUAAAGAGCUCGUAGGCGGUCUGUCGCGUCUGCUGUGAAAACCCGAGGCUCAACCUCGGGCCUGCAGUGGGUACGGGCAGACUAGAGUGCGGUAGGGGAGAUUGGAAUUCCUGGUGUAGCGGUGGAAUGCGCAGAUAUCAGGAGGAACACCGAUGGCGAAGGCAGAUCUCUGGGCCGUAACUGACGCUGAGGAGCGAAAGGGUGGGGAGCAAACAGGCUUAGAUACCCUGGUAGUCCACCCCGUAAACGUUGGGAACUAGUUGUGGGGUCCAUUCCACGGAUUCCGUGACGCAGCUAACGCAUUAAGUUCCUCCGCCUGGGGAGUACGGGCCGCAAGGCUAAAACUCAAAGGAAUUGACGGGGACGCGCACAAGCGGCGGAGCAUGCGGAUUAAUUCGAUGCAACGCGAAGAACCUUACCAAGGCUUGACAUAUAGAGGAANCGUCUGGAAACAGUCGCCCCGCAAGGUCUCUAUACAGGUGGUGCAUGGUUGUCGUCAGCUCGUGUCGUGAGAUGUUGGGUUAAGUCCCGCAACGAGCGCAACCCUCGUUCUAUGUUGCCAGCACGUAAUGGUGGGAACUCAUGGGAUACUGCCGGGGUCAACUCGGAGGAAGGUGGGGAUGACGUCAAAUCAUCAUGCCCCUUAUGUCUUGGGCUUCACGCAUGCUACAAUGGCCGGUACAAAGGGCUGCAAUACCGUGAGGUGGAGCGAAUCCCAAAAAGCCGGUCCCAGUUCGGAUUGAGGUCUGCACCUCGACCUCAUGAAGUCGGAGUCGCUAGUAAUCGCAGAUCAGCAACGCUGCGGUGAAUCCGUUACCGGGU
rnacentral:rRNA from 1 species